rnacentral:rRNA from 1 species
CGUGCAGGCGGCCGACUAAGUCCGGUGUGAAAGCCCGGGGCUCACCCCCGGAAGUGCGCUGGAAACUGGUCGGCUAGAGUACGGGAGAGGGAAGCGGAAUUCCUGGUGUAGCGGUGAAAUGCGUAGAUAUCAGGAGGAACACCGGCGGCGAAGGCGGCUUCCUGGACCGAUACUGACGCUGAGACGCGAAAGCGUGGGGAGCAAACAGGAUUAGAUACCCUGGUAGUCCACGCUGUAAACGAUGGGUACUAGGUGUCGCGGGUGUUGACCCCUGCGGUGCCGCAGCUAACGCAUUAAGUACCCCGCCUGGGGAUUACGGUCGCAAGAUUAAA